AGCCUGAUGCAGCAACGCCGCGUGAGGGACGACGGCCUUCGGGUUGUAAACCUCUUUUAGCAAGGAAGAAGCGAAAGUGACGGUACUUGCAUAAAAAGCACCGGCUAACUACGUGCCAGCAGCCGCGGUAAUACGUAGGGUGCAAGCGUUAUCCGGAAUUAUUGGGCGUAAAGAGCUCGUAGGCGGUUUGUCGCGUCUGCUGUGAAAUCUGGGGGCUCAACCCCCAGCCUGCAGUGGGUACGGGCAGACUAGAGUGCGGUAGGGGAGAUUGGAAUUCCUGGUGUAGCGGUGGAAUGCGCAGAUGUCAAGAGGAACACCGAUGGCGAAAGCAGAUCUCUGGGCCGUAACUGACGCUGAGGAGCGAAAGGGUGGGGAGCAAACAGGCUUAUAUACCCUGGUAGUCCACCCCGUAAACGUUGGGAACUAGUUGUGGGGUCCAUUCCACGGAUUCCGUGACGCAGCUAACGCAUUAAGUUCCCCGCCUGGGGAGUACGGCCGCAAGGCUAAAACUCAAAGGAAUUGACGGGGACCCGCACAAGCGGCGGAGCAUGCGGAUUAAUUCGAUGCAACGCGAAGAACCUUACCAAGGCUUGACAUAUACAAGAACGGGCUAGAAAUAGUCAACUCUUUGGACACU
rnacentral:rRNA from 1 species